UUUUGGUAUUUAUAAGCAAUUUUCGUGCAAAAUUCAUGGGCAGGUGUUAGUUCUGAAAUUCUGCCCAGAAAAGUGAUAUUUCUGUCAAGGAUUUUGAUGCCAAAUUUCAAUAUUGAGGAGUUGGUGCCAGAUUUCUAUAUUCUGAAAUUUUAGUGUUGUUUUUGUCAAACCUUGGAUUUCCAGAUUUUUCAAGGUUUGAAUGAAUUUAUAUGAUAAAUAUUGAAGCCUAUGUAUUGGACUAACUAUGUAUAGGGGUUGUAUAUGUAUUAAGGUAGUGAUUUUAAGGAAGUGUGAGUGGUGUAAUGGAUUUGAUAAUGUAUGGUGACUAGUUGAUAAAUCAUUAAAGAGAAUAAAAGUUGGAGAAUUGGAGAUGUAAGAGUAAGUAGAAGUUGAGAAGUUAAGUGGUGGAUUUAUAUUAAUUUAAUUGUUAGAUUUUAAUUCGAGAAAUCAUACCGUUAUUUCAGAUGGGAAAGUGGAAGCUUGGAAAUAUUCGUCAAUUUAAUCAGAUUUCUAUCCAUAGAUCUGUGAGUGGAAAAAUAUAAAUAUUUUUAUAAUAUUUAUAAAUUAAGUAUAUUCUUAAAGUAUGUGCAAUUAUCUGCAAUUAUGUGUUCGAAUUGAUACAUUGUGAAUUGGAAUAUCAGAUAUAAUUCUGAGAUCGACCAGAAAAGUACCCGUGAUUAUAUAUUUCUUCUAGUUCACUGAGGGGCCUUGGCCGUGUUCUAUCCUACACGGAGGGUCUUGACCGGAUAUUGGUCUCGAUCGUGUACAUAUAGUUCGCAAAGGAGCCUUGGUUGUGUUCUAGAAUUGAUUACCAAAAGUUUUGAGACCAGCUUUCUUUCACGGAGGGGGCCAAAGGCCGGUGACGAAAGUGCUUAGCUCGUGGGGAAGAUUACAGAUUUUAGUCAAAGGUUGCAUUUUUGGCUGAUCACAUGUGAUGUGAUGAGAUGAUGGUAUAGAUAUCAGCUGAUGACUAUAUCGCGAUUAAGAGAUGAUAUUUACAGUGUUAUGAGAAUGUCUCACUUUUUGUUUAUAAUUGUAUGAGGCGAUCAUGUGAAAUAUUAAAUGAUAUGAACUUGAUGUUUGAUAAAAAUGUUUAAAGAAGAAAGUAUGAUUAUUUUUGACCUAUUCCACUCGUUGAGCUGUCAACUCAUAUUUUUUUUAAAUUAUUCUUUCAAGUAAUAUUGGUCCUUGAUAGCUUGAGGAGCCUGGUGAUUUCAGAGUUAGAGUCAUACGACAUAUUGCAUUAUAUGAGUCAAUUUGAAAAACCACGAAGUAAGUUUUGGGCCCAUCGCAUUAUGUUUUUAUAAACAUUUAAUUUUUUUGCAUUUUUUUUGAAAUAACUCAUAGUCAGCCUUGGUGAUAGAUUUAACAUCUAUUCAGCAUCUAUCAUCGGCGUACGUCACGUUUCGGGUCCACUAGGGUGAUUCGGGACAGGUCGUGUCAAAGUGGUAUCAAAGCAUGGUUUACAAAGUUAUGAGAGUCUUCAUAGUUCAUGCAUUGACAUAUCAUGCAUAUUCAAUGCGUGUGAUCACAUGUUGUGGUGGCGGAAAUCACAGGCUCUCAAGCUUGAAUGUAUGGAACAAAAAAUGAUAGAAAAAUAUUUUUUUUACGGAUCCAGAAAUGGAUAGUAUGUAAGCAUGAUAGUUACAAUGAUUUGAUAAUUGAAAGUAUUUAUUAGUUGCUGGGUUGAAACCGUGGUAUAUGUGACCUAUUAAGAGUUGAUUAAAUCAUGAUACAUAGGAAAAUCAUUGGUUAUAGCUUGCCCAAUAAAUAUAGGAAAAUGAUAUAAUUUGUGUAAUUGGAGAUAAUCAGUGGAGGAUUUUAAUUAUUUUGGGGAAGCUAAAUGACCAUUAGCGCUAUCGAUAACUGUGGUGAAUCAUAGCCACUUGUUUGGGAUAAGAAUGGAAAGCAUGUGGGUGUACACUUAUGCUAUAUGAUAAGAAUUUUGUAGAGGACAAAAUGAUAAUAUUAUAUAGAAUGUUGAUAAAUAAAAUACAAUGUUUUAUUUUGUAUAUUAUGCAUUGAGGAGCUUAACAUUCAUGUGUACUUCGAGAAGAGAUUAGGAUUGGCUUAUGACUGCCUUGACCAAUUAAAUGAUAGGUUACAAAAUGAGAAAGAUAAGUAGUGACAAAUGAGGUUAGAGGGAAAAAAAAGAAAUAAAAAUUUACUCGAUGGGUUACUUAUUGGUAUAGAAACUUGGGGUCAAGGAGAUAGAAAAUGAUUACAUAUAGAGAAUAUGAAAUUUAUGGUGAAGUGGAAUUAUGUAUGGUAGUAUAGCGGUUAAGGAAAAUGGUCGGAAAAAAAAAGGAAUAAUAGAGGGAAGGACUAAGAGUUCCAUUCAAGGAAAUAAAACUUUGAUAGGAAUAUAUAAUUGGGGACGUGUGGUCGGAAGUGACCAGGAAUAGAAAGAAAAGAGUAUGAAUUAGUGUUAAAUCACUGUUUACAUGUUAUGUGCAAUAGUAGCAUAAAUUUAAGGAUAGGAGGAAAGAAAUGACAUCGGGUUCUAUAUAAGUAUGUAUAUUUAUCGAAAGAAUGAGAAAGGAAAGAAAAUAAUAAAGAGAGGUGUGGACAUCCAUUAAGGUUGUGAAUUGGGUAUACAGUGGUAUCGAUAUUCGAUCGUUAAAUAUGGGUAUAAUGAUUUUUAAUAAGGGUCAACAAAUUAAGUACGGUGAAUCAUCUUGUUCAACUUGGGAGACGAGACAUGAUUAAAUUUUGUUGUUAUAUGGUACGAUGAUUUUCACUUAGCAAGGUUAUUUUAUUAUGAAAGGCAUUGUGAAUAGUGAUAAAACAAAGGAAAUGACUGUUUUACAUAAACAGAAUUAUGUUACAAUAUAGUCUGAUUAAAAUGUGAAUUGAUUUUCCUUUAGCCAUUAUUGGCUUUAUUAUGUUGGUUUAUAAGUUAUUGAGGACGACAUAUUAAAUUAUAAAUAUGGCUUAGUUUUAAGAGUUAUUUGUGAUUCCAUUGGGAUGACUAUCAUGUCAGUUAUAUGUUGAAUUUCAUGAGUAGAAUAUCUUAUUUUGAUCAUAAAGAUUUGAUAAAAAUUUCAGGUAUGACAUGUUAUUGUACUUUAGAGCCUAAAAGGUGAAAAAAUGUUCUAUUAGAUAUGAGGUAGUUUUGAGCAUGUCAUUUAAGUGCACAGGAUUUUGUGGACACAUUACAGAAAGUCAGCAAGGACAUAUCAUCACAUUGUACUACCAAGGAAGAUGGAAUACUAAUUAUGGUAAACAAGUUAUUUGGUCGAGAUGAUUCCCAAUAAUUAAAAAAAGGGGAAUAGAGAUAAAGUCUAGGUGUUGUGUUUUUCUUUCUUUAUUUAAGAAUUUGGUAAGCUUGAGUUUCUUACUUUAUUAUGAGUAAGUAUAUUUGGAGUUGUGCAAAACUUUGGAUUCUCUCUAUAUAUAAUUGUUGUGCUUGAGAGAAUUAAAUUGACAAUGAAACGUGAAGCAUGGAAAGAAAAGAAUGAGGAAUUGAAGACUGUAGUAAUAAAUUGUGUUAUAUAUGGUCAUAAUUGAAAAGUGAAAAUGGAAAAUUAGAAGAGAAGAAGAUAAGCAGAAUAUGUCUAUGGGUAUUGCAAGGAAUGAAUAGUUGUAGAGAAAGAAAGGAAAAAUUUAAAAUGAAAAGUUGAAUGAAUUUAUAUGAUAAAUUUUAGUGCUGUUUUUGUCAAACCUUGGAUUUCCAGAUUUUUCAUGGUUUGAAUGAAUUUAUAUGAUAAAUAUUGAAGCCUGUGUAUUGGACUAACUAUGUAUAGGGGUUGUAUAUGUAUUAAGGUAGUGAUUUUAAGGAAGUGUGAGUGUUGUAAUGGAUUUGAUAAUAUAUGGUGACUAGUUGAUAAAUCAUUAAAGAGAAGAAAAGUUGGAGAAUUGGAGAUGUAAGAGUAAGUAUAGAAGUUGAGAGGUUAAAUGGUGG
rnacentral:lncRNA from 1 species